UACAGAGGUCCCGAGCGUUGUUCGGAUUUACUGGGCGUAAAGGGCGCGUAGGCGGCCACCGCAAGUCGACUGUGAAAUCUCCGGGCUUAACCCGGAAAGGUCAGCCGAUACUGCGGGGCUAGAGUGCAGAAGGGGCAACUGGAAUUCUCGGUGUAGCGGUGAAAUGCGUAGAUAUCGAGAGGAACACCUGCGGCGAAGGCGGGUUGCUGGGCUGACACUGACGCUGAGGCGCGAAAGCUAGGGGAGCGAACGGG
rnacentral:rRNA from 1 species